rnacentral:rRNA from 1 species
GUGGGGAAUCUUGCGCAAUGGGCGAAAGCCUGACGCAGCGACGCCGCGUGGGUGACGAAGGCCUUCGGGUCGUAAAGCCCUGUGGGGAGGGACGAACAAGCCGCAAGGCUCUGACGGUACCUCCUUAGCAAGCACCGGCCAACUCCGUGCCAGCAGCCGCGGUAAGACGGAGGGUGCAAACGUUGUUCGGAAUUACUGGGCGUAAAGCGCGUGUAGGCGGCGCGGAAAGUCGGGCGUGAAAUCCCUCGGCUCAACCGAGGAAUUGCGUUCGAAACUGCCGUGCUAGAGUUUGGGAGAGGGAGGUGGAAUUCCCGGUGUAGAGGUGAAAUUCGUAGAUAUCGGGAGGAACACCGGUGGCGAAGGCGGCCUCCUGGACCGAUACUGACGCUGAGACGCGAAAGCGUGGGGAGCAAACAGGAUUAGAUACCCUAGUAGUCC